rnacentral:lncRNA from 1 species
UUGAUUUCCGCGCAACCCUAGCCGCCACCUCGCCCACCUCUCUCCUCCCCACCACAACAACCCAGAUCUGACCCGGCCCACACCGAAACGGGCCGCACCAGCCGCCGCCGGUACCUCGCCCACGAGCAAGUGCCCUAGAUCGAGGGGAGGAGCCCUCCAGCGCUUUCCCCUGCCCCUCGCUUCUUCAAGCCGGCCAGGUGUCGUCCCUCUGGCGAGGUGCCGUUGACGAUCUUCUCACCACGCAGCACCCCGUCGCGCCUCUCCUGUCCGUGUUCGAGUUCAGACGUCAUGUUUCCGAGCAGCAGCAAAUCCCGCAACCUAGCUAGCCGGCGGCCCCCGAUCCGCGCCGCCAUCCGCUGCCUGAAGGACUAGCUGGCCAGAUCCGACCAGAUCCGGUCCGGGAGAGCAAUCCCUGACCACCGCCGCCCGGGACUCCGCCGGUGUGCGCCCUGCCGCCAUGGGCGUUAGACGCCGCCGCCCCAAGCCCUCUGCUCGAGCAGAGGCACGAGGGAGAUGAGGCGCUCCCGCAGCCUCUCGCGUGGGCCAGACGCCCAGUGCCCACGUGGGCCAGGCCCGUCGCCCGCCAGCUUGUUGGCCUGUCUCCCGUGGCCCAACACACCAACCGGCCCAGCCAGCCUACAACCUGAGCCGGCCCAUGUGGCCCAAGGUGAGCCAGCACCCGAGCCCCUCUAUAUUGCGCCCGAGCGCUGUUUUGCUAUCCAGCGCCCACCAAAUUCGUUCCGUGUAGUUUUUUUAUCGUCGUCCGAUUUUUUCCAAUUAUGAGGAAUUUUAGAAAAAAGCAUGAUUUAAAAACGACCGUAACUUUUAAACCAUGCGUUGGAUCGAAAUAAGUUAGAUAUGUUAAACAUGUAGAAUUUCGCAUAAAUUGAUAUUUUCCAUCUCUCAUGCAUAUUUAGAACUGUUUAACGUGUUGUUUGCAUCGGUUUCCAUGACAACAUGUUAAAAACGGUUUAAUUCGUAGCUAGUUAACUGUAGCUAUGUUGGAAAUGAGCUAUAUAUAUACCGACUAGAAUGACGUGUAGUUUCACGUGAAACACUUUGUUUUCCCGUUUAACAAACAUAAAAUGUGAUUAGGUCAAAUCUGGACAGAUUACAUAGUUAAUGCGUGGGGUUGUUUCAGAAAUGCUAUAUGUCGUUUCCGGCUUAAUUUAAAAUGCCUAGAUAGGUAGUUUAUUUGUGAUUCACCCCUUGCCAUGUUUAACAACAUUUAACAUUGACGUGUAUCUAAACGGGAGUGAACUAAGUAAUUCAAAUGUGGAGUUUCGUCAAUAUGCAACUCGUUGCAUAUUGAUCUUCACUUAAUGUGUAAUGGUUGAUUGUUGUGAAUUGACAUGUCAUGCCUUGCAUAAUUGAACUGGACGUGCAUCAUAAUUGGUUAUGCAUGAUGUUGCGCAUGUGCCGUGGUGAAUAUUGUGUCUUGAUUGUUGUUUCGGUUUGCUUCGUCUGGAUAGAGUUCAGCAAGUGUGCUGGAAUGCGAGGAUCCGUUCGACUGUGUCGGUUCGUCUGCUUCACGUAGUCGUUCUUCUUCCAAGCGGGUUCAUAGGAAAGAUGAUCAUUUCCCUUGAUACCAUUACUAUCAUUGCCAUGCUAGUGGUGUCGUUUCUUUCGCUAUCUCUCACUGCCUACCACCUGUUAAAUAUCAGCCUCCCAACAUUGCCAUGAAAACCUCUCAUCUUUCCACUACCUAGCAAAUCUUGUUUGGCUAUGUUACCGCUUGCUCAGCCUUUUGAUAGCAUUGCUAGUUG